CUGUAUAGCCUGCUAACUUUCC
rnacentral:miRNA from 1 species